AGAUUGAACGCUUGGCGGUCAUGCCUAACACAUGCAAGUCGAGGCGGCAGCGCGGGGGCGACCCUGGCGGCGAGCGGCGGACGGGUGAGUAAGGCAUCGGAAUCUGCCCUGAAUGUGGGGGUAUAACGUAGGGGAAACUUACGUCUAAUACCGCAUACGACCGAGAGGUGAAAGCGGGGGACCGAAAGGCCUCGCGCAGCAGGAUGAGCCGAUGUCCGGAUUAGCUGGUUGGUGGGGUUAACGGCCCACCAAGGCGACGAUCGGUAGCUGGUCUGAGAGGGAUGGAUCAGCCACACUGGGACUGAGACACGGCCCAGGACUCCUACGGGAGGCAGC
rnacentral:rRNA from 1 species